GAUCACUCCGUUGGCCAUGGCUGGGCGGGCGGCUUGGGAGGCUCCAGUUCACCAAGGGACCAGAACCCCGGGUGCUAGGGGGAGUUUCUGGAAGGCUUGCUAACCUCCAUCUCAUGACUGGGAAGCAGGCUGCUGACAGAUUCAGGUAUCAAAUCUGAAGAGAGUUUCGACAGCGCUGGAGCCCUCCCCUGCUGGAAAUAUUGCAGGAGGUUCCCUCUGAUCAUCAAUCUACCCUCAACAUCAUAGACCGGCCCCUCUCUUAGAGCCUAUAAAAUCAGACAACAGCCACCUUCAUGCUGAGACAGAAUGCAGGGAUCUUGCCAACCUGGGAGCCCUGGUGUAUCGGCCCUGUAUAUCCUGUAUAUUGUAUCUGUCCAAAACCCCAUCCCACCCCAGGGAGUAUGCUGAACAUAGGUCCUUCUCUCCCAGGAGCCCCAUUGGAGACUCCUACCCUACCCAGAGUACCCUCACAAGCUCCUUACUCUAUCCUCUGCCCCUCUGGGAUGAUGGAAUAAAAUCUC